UUUGAUCCUGGCUCAGGAUGAACGCUGGCGGCGUGCCUAAUACAUACAAGUCGAACGCUUUGUGGUUCAACUGAUUUGAAGAGCUUGCUCAGAUAUGACGAUGGACAUUGCAAAGAGUGGCGAACGGGUGAGUAACACGUGGGAAACCUACCUCUUAGCAGGGGAUAACAUUUGGAAACAGAUGCUAAUNCCGUAUANCAAUGACAACCGCAUGGUUGUUAUUUAAAAGAUGGUUCUGCUAUCACUAAGAGAUGGUCCCGCGGUGCAUUAGCUAGUUGGUAAGGUAAUGGCUUACCAAGGCGAUGAUGCAUAGCCGAGUUGAGAGACUGAUCGGCCACAAUGGGACUGAGACACGGCCCAUACUCCUACGGGAGGCAGCAGUAGGGAAUCUUCCACAAUGGGCGAAAGCCUGAUGGAGCAACGCCGCGUGUGUGAUGAAGGGUUUCGGCUCGUAAAACACUGUUGUAAGAGAAGAAUGACAUUGAGAGUAACUGUUCAAUGUGUGACGGUAUCUUACCAGAAAGGAACGGCUAAAUACGUGCCAGCAGCCNCGGUAAUAAGGG
rnacentral:rRNA from 1 species